CCUAACACAUGCAAGUCGAACGGAAAGGCCCUGCUUUUGUGGGGUGCUCGAGUGGCGAACGGGUGAGUAACACGUGAGUAACCUGCCCUUGACUUUGGGAUAACUUCAGGAAACUGGGGCUAAUACCGGAUAGGAGCUCCUGCUGCAUGGUGGGGGUUGGAAAGUUUCGGCGGUUGGGGAUGGACUCGCGGCUUAUCAGCUUGUUGGUGGGGUAGUGGCUUACCAAGGCUUUGACGGGUAGCCGGCCUGAGAGGGUGACCGGCCACAUUGGGACUGAGAUACGGCCCAGACUCCUACGGGAGGCAGCAGUGGGGAAUAUUGCACAAUGGGCGGAAGCCUGAUGCAGCAACGCCGCGUGCGGGAUGACGGCCUUCGGGUUGUAAACCGCUUUCGCCUGUGACGAAGCGUGAGUGACGGUAAUGGGUAAAGAAGCACCGGCUAACUACGUGCCAGCAGCCGCGGUGAUACGUAGGGUGCGAGCGUUGUCCGGAUUUAUUGGGCGUA
rnacentral:rRNA from 1 species